rnacentral:rRNA from 1 species
AACGAACGCUGGCGGCAGGCCUAACACAUGCAAGUCGAACGCUGUAGCAAUACAGAGUGGCAGACGGGUGAGUAACGCGUGGGAACGUGCCCUUUGGUUCGGAAUAACCCAGGGAAACUUGGGCUAAUACCGGAUACGUCCGUAAGGAGAAAGAUUUAUCGCCAAAGGAUCGGCCCGCGUCGGAUUAGCUAGUUGGUGAGGUAAAGGCUCACCAAGGCGACGAUCCGUAGCUGGUCUGAGAGGAUGACCAGCCACACUGGGACUGAGACACGGCCCAGACUCCUACGGGAGGCAGCAGUGAGGAAUAUUGGACAAUGGGCGCAAGCCUGAUCCAGCCAUGCCGCGUGAGUGAAGAAGCCUUAGGGUUGUAAAG